rnacentral:lncRNA from 1 species
CGAGCUCCUCUCCACUCCCAUUCACUCGCCCUCCCUCUCAGGCGCUCACCCUUGCCAUUGCCACUCGGGCGCGCAAGUGUGGCCGCGUCCACCAUGGACGUCCGACGAAGCUCCUUGCCGUCGGCGUUCUUGCCUCUUGGAGCCUCAUCCAUCUCAGCCGGCGUCACCAUCGACCUCCGAACACCAUGCUUCCUCCCCUGCGCUGCCUCCUGAGUCGUGUCGUCGCUUGCAGACCUAGGUGGCCGGAGCUGCCAUGGUGCGGGCCACUGCCUCCAUGGCCUACUGGCCUCGAGCGGCCGUGGGUCGAGCUAGGGCCGUCAUCGGGUGCGCAAGGGUUGCCUCCACCCUCGCUAGCCCUUAUCUCGCCGCCGGAGUGCCUCCUCCGGCCGUCCACGGCGAGCUCCCCGUCGAUGCUCUGUUUUCUCUCCCGUUAGGGACCUGCUGCAACAAUUCGAAGAAGAGCAGGGGUCGUUUUGCGAAGCUGUGACUCAUGUGAAUAGUACCUGCAGGGACCUCUUGGUUGUAGUUUGUUUUGCGGAUAUCUCAAGGGUCUCUGUGCAAAUCUGUUUUUCUUUCAUAUGACUGAAGUUUGGAAAAUCAUAAUAAACCGUAGAGAAAUCGUAAAAUAGCAAAUGUGGACUUUUUGGAAUCCUUAUGAAAUUCUCUAUGCAGUAGAUCUAUAAUAUGGCAUGGUUUAGUUUGAAGUUUUAGUCG